AGAGUUUGAUCCUGGCUCAGAACGAACGCUGGCGGCGUGCUUAACACAUGCAAGUCGAACGGGACCUUCGGGUCUAGUGGCGGACGGGUGAGUAAUACAUAGGAAAUCUGCCUUUAAGUGGGGGACAACAAUCCGAAAGGGUUGCUAAUACCGCGUAAUGUCAUUGGUUGAAAUGCUGAUGAAGAAAGAUUUAUCGCUUUUAGAGGAGCCUAUGCUUGAUUAGCUAGUUGGUGGGGUAAAGGCCUACCAAGGCUACGAUCAAUAGCUGGUCUGAGAGGACGAUCAGCCACACUGGGAUCUGAGACACGGCCCAGACUUCUACGGAAGGCAGCAGUGGGGAAUUUUCCGCAAUGGGCGCAAGCCUGACGGAGCGACGUCCGCGUAUGGGAUGAAGUAUUUAGGUAUGUAAACCAUUUGUCACGUGGGGAGGGAAACAAAUGACGGACCCACAGAAGAA
rnacentral:rRNA from 1 species